rnacentral:rRNA from 1 species
AACGAACGCUGGCGGCAUGCCUAACACAUGCCAAUCGAACGAGACCUUCGGGUCUAGUGGCGCACGGGUGCGUAACGCGUGGGAACCUGCCCUUAGGUUCGGAAUAACUCCCCGAAAGGGGUGCUAAUACCGGAUAAUGUCUUCGGACCAAAGAUUUAUCGCCUUUGGAUGGGCCCGCGUUGGAUUAGCUAGUUGGUAGGGUAAAAGCCUACCAAGGCGACGAUCCAUAGCUGGUCUGAGAGGAUGAUCAGCCACACUGGGACUGAGACACGGCCCAGACUCCUACGGGAGGCAGCAGUGGGGAAUAUUGGACAAUGGGCGAAAGCCUGAUCCAGCAAUGCCGCGUGAGUGAUGAAGGCCUUAGGGUUGUAAAGCUCUUUUACCCGGGAUGAUAAUGACAGUACCGGGAGAAUAAGCUCCGGCUAACUCCGUG